GUUACAUUGGCAGAUUAGUGCAAUAAAUUUAGAAUUUAUAAAUAUGAAGGUUUCUUUAUAUGUAAUA
rnacentral:tRNA from 1 species